UUUAUAGCAUCUUUACAGAAAAUUUACUUUUUUUAGAGUUUAAAUAAAAAAAAUAAUUAAUUACAUGCAGUUCGUGGUAAGGUUUUAGCAAAGCGUUUUACUAUUUAUGGAAAAGCAAAUCAAUCAAACGCAACGGAAAAACAUAUCGUCUUGGUAAAAUAUUUUUAUCUUUAUAAAAAUGCGUUCACUGUGUUUGUAUAUAAGGUAUUUAUUUAAAAUAAAAAAAAAAAGGUACAAAUUGGGGAAUAAACAGAUUUACCUCCCAUCCAAACUUUAACUUUAAAACUGGCGUCGUUAAGUCUGAUAUGAGAAAGAAUUAAUUGCAAAAAUCGCGAAAAUAUAAUAUAUAAAGUUGGACUUUGCACCUGGUUAAAUUGUAUUGAUAAUACGCUUUUUAGCAACAAAAAAUAAUUAAAAGAAGCUUCGAUUGGAAACUGUAAUGUGCCCCAAGAAGUCCUAACGGUCUUAUCAGAGAGCAUCGUGGGUGUUUGUAGAGAUGAAAAUCUUACUUGGAAAAAUCACAUUAAAAACUUAUCUUGUAAAAUUUCAAAAAGUAUAAGAAUAUUGUGGAAAGCAAGAAAUGUUUUAAAUAAACAUACUUUAGUAAAAUUAUAUUACUCGUAUAUUCAUUGUCACAUAUACUGUGCAAACAUUGCUUGGAUUAGUACAAAUAAAGGUAAAUUUAAACAUUUUUAUUGUUAGCAGAAAUAUGUAGCACGUCUAAUAUAUUUUAAAGACCGUUACAUUUAUGCCAACCCACUAUUUUGAAAUAAAAGUUUUUAAUAUAUAUGAGCUUAAAGUUUUUAAUAUUCUUUGUUUUACGAAUUAAUCUAAAACCAAUUCAUCUCCGAUUUGUUUUCAUAAUUUGUAUUUAAAAGAUAAACAUAAAUCAUUUUAUGCAAUGAUAAUUUUGUUAAGC